CCAGCGUCAACGAAACAAAGGGGGAGACCGAGAGGGAGUAAACGCUGAGAGUGAGAGGGAGAUCGAAGCAGAGGAAGUUUUGACGGAGAGCCAGUCACGUGCGAAUCGGUUUUUGAACCAAGGUCAGAUUCCCGGAGAUUAAGACUAAGGAAACGAAAGUGCUCAAGUUUAAUAUAGAAUCAGUGAUUUAUGGUUGUUUUGAUGCUUAAUAUAUGACUCUCAUGAGGAUUGAAUCUGGCUUGCUGCUGCUGUUCGAAUCCGUUUGGCCCAAGGCUGAUAUAGAUAUAUACACACUUUGUUGCUUGAUGAAGUUGGUUAUAGAAGUGUCUUCGAAUCCCAACCCUGUUCUGCUACGUGAAGCUGCAAUUAUACGGUGUAAGUUGAAAUGGGAAUUUGAAUAAUAGAAGAACAUGAUGCUUUGAGAUAUAUAGAUGUUCGUGUGCUGUGAUAUGUGUAUAAACAUAUAUUUUCUGAUUUAUUUGGUGAUGAAGGUUAGGGGUAUCAAUUUUUGAAGCUGAAAACAAUGAGAGACCUAUUGAUCCAUGUGGUGAAAACCCGCGCGCGGAACACACACACAUAUUUGUAGGGUUGCGUAUGAUUAAGGGAGACUUUUGGGUCUAAAUUGUUGCGGUGGCAACCCAAUUCAAAGUUGUUGCUGAAUACUUCUCAAUGACAAAUAAUUGCUUAAAUGAUUCAAUCAAGUAGAGAGACUUUAGAAUGAUGACGUGAAGCUCACUGACUGAUGUUGAACGAUUAAGCAUAUAAGUUGAUAAGAUUAUGAUUUUGAUCCUGAAAAGAAAGGUUUGGAAUAAUGAUUGUGAGAACUACAAAUAUAUAGUUAAAGGAUACUGUCAAGAGCUUGAGUAUCAAGCACUAAUUAAGGGAUAGUUACAGAAGCUAGAGAUAAUGUUUACGAAGUUGAAAGUUGAAGAAGACUUAUUAUUGAUUACCUAUAAAUGUUAGCAAUUGUUUUUAUAAUGGUUAAAAUCAUUUGGAAAGAA